GGCUUUGUCUUGCACUGAUUCCUGUCAGCAUCCCCCUGCAGAGGACCUGUAUGUUUCUAGUGACCCAGAAGGGAAGGAGAAGCAAGCUGGAGUGUCCUGCAGAAGCCUGAGCUGAAAAGUUGUCCUCCAGUAUGUGACCUUAAUCCUUCAAAAUUCAGAGGAUGCUGCACUUCUGCCUCCAGAAGCCAUGAGGACUUUCACUGCUGGACCUCUAAGAGCUGGUCACUUUCAAAGACAGAAUAUUGGACAAGACAUGUGGUGCUUCUGGUCUGGCACAGCAGAUCCAAUGCUCCAAUUCAAGGCAUCUCACGGUACAGCUGUUGUCCUUCCGUCCUGUAUCCUGUUCCCC